CAGCGUGAGCUGCAGCAGUCUGGAGCUGAGUUGGUGAGACCUGGGUCCUCAGUGAAGUUGUCCUGCAAGGAUUCUUACUUUGCCUUCAUGGCCAGUGCUAUGCACUGGGUGAAGCAAAGACCUGGACAUGGCCUGGAAUGGAUAGGAUCUUUUACUAUGUACAGUGAUGCUACUGAGUACAGUGAAAACUUCAAGGGCAAGGCCACAUUGACUGCAAACACAUCCUCGAGCACAGCCUACAUGGAACUCAGCAGCCUCACAUCUGAGGACUCUGCGGUCUAUUACUGUGCAAGA